GGAUGUGAAGGACUGAAGGACACCUACCCCAUUGAUCGCCAGGGUUGAUUCGGCUGAUCUGGCUGGCUAGGUGGGUGUCCCCUUCCUCCCUCCCAAAGCUGUGCACUCAGUUGAAGAGAACGGCCUCCCCUGAAUAGAGACAGGACCAGUCUGAGUAGCUACGCUCCCCUGUUAGAACCUGCAAACAAGCUCUCAAGGUCCAAAUGCUAUACUACCGGUUCCUGAGGGUAAUUUAUUUUAUUAUAAUCCCUGUUGCAAACAAACAG
rnacentral:snRNA from 1 species